GCAACUUCCUCUUUUAAAGUUGCUGCUAGACGACUGGGAAUAACAACCCUAUAUGUCAGCGCAAGACAACAGUCAGGAGAUAAA